UGCUGGUUGGUUGCAGUUGCAUACGCAUCCGGCCACUACGAAAAAUUCACUCGAAGUCUCGAUCUGAUCGAUCUUCUCGGGAGUGCUAGCUUGUGCGAAGAUCUUCUUCUUAGCUGAUUUGAAUUCUUUCUGCAAAUCUCUAAAAUUUUUUUAGAGAUUAAAGAUGAACUUCUAGAAGAGAUAAAAAGGUGAAAGAAAGAUGGAGAAGAAAAUAUUUUUUACUUUUAUUUUUCUCUCUUCCCAAACCCUGAGGACUAAACCCUAGGGUUUUUCAUCUUGC
rnacentral:lncRNA from 1 species